rnacentral:tRNA from 1 species
CGGAGCGUGGCGCAGCCGGGCAGCGCUUCUGAUUUGGUAUCAGAAGGCAGUAAGUUAAAAUCCUACCGCUAGGA